rnacentral:rRNA from 1 species
GACGUAGGGGGCGAGCGUUGUCCGGAUUUAUUGGGCGUAAAGAGCUCGUAGGCGGCUCGUUGCGUCGGCUGUGAAAACCCGCAGCUCAACUGUGGGCUUGCAGCCGAUACGGGCGGGCUGGAGUUCGGUAGGGGAGACUGGAAUUCCUGGUGUAGCGGUGAAAUGCGCAGAUAUCAGGAAGAACACCAACGGCGAAGGCAGCUCGCUGGGACGGUACUGACGCUGAGACGCGAAAGCGUGGGGAGCGAACAGG